CUGGACUCGUGUCACAUGUUACAAACCACAAUGUGAUGUUCUAUCACUUAAAAUUACAUUACUAGACGAAAAGAAACAUUAAAUUUAUAAAUAUGUUCCUUUAAACAUAUAACCUGAUUGACAUUGAGAAAUCAAACAACAAUUUCUUCCCGUUGACGUCAAACAAAGACCAUUGACUAUUUGAACUCGUUCAAUAACAUGGAAAAUUUUCAGCUUUUUAUACUGAAACUUACGUAAAGAUUAAUCCACAAUGUUACUCUGAGAAUAAAAAUGUUAUUCAAACAAAU
rnacentral:lncRNA from 1 species